rnacentral:rRNA from 1 species
AACGAACGCUGGCGGCAUGCCUAACACAUGCAAGUCGAACGAGACCUUCGGGUCUAGUGGCGCACGGGUGCGUAACGCGUGGGAACAUGCCCUUAGGUUCGGAAUAACUCCCCGAAAGGGGUGCUAAUACAGGAUAAUGUCUUCGGACCAAAGAUUUAUCGCCUUUGGAUGGGCCCGCGUUGGAUUAGCUAGUUGGUAGGGUAAAAGCCUACCAAGGCGACGAUCCAUAGCUGGUCUGAGAGGAUGAUCAGCCACACUGGGACUGAGACACGGCCCAGACUCUUACGGGAGGCAGCAGUGGGGAAUAUUGGACCAUGGGCGAAAGCCUGAUCCAGCCAUGCCGCGUGAGUGAUGCAGGCCUUAGGGUUGUAAAGCUCUUUUACCCGGGAUGAUAAUGACAGUACCGGGAGAAUAAGCUCCGGCUAACUCCGUG